rnacentral:rRNA from 1 species
UAGUCCACGCCGUAAACGAUGAAUACUAGGUGUAGGAGGUAUCGACUCCUUCUGUGCCGCAGUUAACACAAUAAGUAUUCCGCCUGGGGAGUACGAUCGCAAGAUUAAAACUCAAAGGAAUUGACGGGGGCCCGCACAAGCAGCGGAGCAUGUGGUUUAAUUCGAAGCAACGCGAAGAACCUUACCUAGACUUGACAUCCCCUGAAUUACUCUUAAUCGAGGAAGUCCUUCGGGACAGGGAGAC